rnacentral:rRNA from 1 species
GACGAACGCUGGCGGCGUGCUUAACACAUGCCAGUCGAACGCUGAACCCGCUUCGGUGGGGGAUGAGUGGCGAACGGGUGAGUAACACGUGGGCAACCUGCCCCCGGCUCUGGGAUAACUCCAAGAAAUUGGGGCUAAUACCGGAUGUGACCGCUGGCCGCAUGGUCUGGUGGUGGAAAGGGUUUCCGGCUGGGGAUGGGCCCGCGGCCUAUCAGCUUGUUGGUGGGGUAGUGGCCUACCAAGGCGACGACGGGUAGCCGGCCUGAGAGGGUGACCGGCCACACUGGGACUGAGACACGGCCCAGACUCCCACGGGAGGCAGCAGUGGGGAAUAUUGCGCAAUGGGCGGAAGCCUGACGCAGCGACGCCGCGUGGGGGAUGACGGCCUUCGGGUUGUAAACCUCUUUCAGCAGGGACGAAGCGCAAGUGACGGUACCUGCAGAAGAAGCACCGGCCAACUACGUG